GACGAACGCUGGCGGCGUGCCUAAUACAUGCAAGUCGAACGCGGGGGGGACGGGGUAGUAACACGUGGGUAACCUCCCAUCAGAGGGGAUAACACUUGGAAACAGGUGCUAAACCGACAUUGAUGGAUGGACCCGCGGUGCAUUAGCUAGUUGGUGGGGUAUCGGCUCACCAAGGCCACGAUGGAUAGCGGACCUGAGAGGGUGAUCGGCCACACUGGGACUGAGACACGGCCCAGACUCCUGCGUGAGGCAGGAGGAGGGAAUCUUCGGCAAUGGACGAAAGUCUGACCGAGCAAUGCCGCGUGAGUGAAGAAGGUUUUAGGAUCGUAAAUCUCUGUUGUUAGGGAAGCGGUAGCUAACCAGGAAGCCCCGGCUAACUACGUGCCAGCAGCCGCGGUAAUUC
rnacentral:rRNA from 1 species